GCCUGCCCAGUGACCAUGUGUUCAACGGCCGCGGUAUUCUGACCGCGCGAAGGUAGCGUAAUCACUUGUUUUUUAAAUAAAGACUAGUAUGAACGGCCGCACGAGGACCUAACUGUCUCCUUUGUCCAAUCAGUGAAACUGAUCUCCUCGUGCAGAAGCGAGGAUCUUAUCAUAAGACGAGAAGACCCUAUGGAGCUUUAAACUUUUAUUAAUUAUUUUCUUCACCCCUCUAAGGAGCCAACAACUAAUUUAAUUUUUUUAUAAAAGUUUUGGGUUGGGGCGACCAUGGAGGAAAAAAAAUCCUCCCUGAUGACACCUAACUAAGAGCCACAGCUCCAAGUAUUAAGACACUUAACUCCUAUUGACCCAUUUUAUGAUCAACGAACCAAGUUACCCUAGGGAUAACAGCGCAAUCCAUUUCAAGAGUCCUUAUCGACAAAUGGGUUUACGACCUCGAUGUUGGAUCAGGGCAUCCAAGUGGUGCAACCGCUACUAAAGGUUCGUUUGUUCAACGAUUAAAGCCCUACGUGAUCU
rnacentral:rRNA from 1 species